GAAGCCGGACUGCACUUCUUGCGAGGAGCAGGCAGGAGCGAGCAGAAGCGGCCGCGCGUCUCAGGCAGCAGGAGCCGCGGCGCGGUCGGAAGCGGCAGGAGCUGCGGACCGGUAGGAGGUAGCAGGAGGACCGGCGCGGUUAAGGCGAGCUUCUUCGGAGAAGCCAUGGUGGCUUCCAUUGAUGGUGGAGGAGGAGGCAGGUCUCUGCAGUUUGUCUGGGUUGCUCUAAAUGAUGCUGUUUCAUUAUUUUGAUGGCCAAGGAAUAUUCCUGAAUGUAUACGAGAGUUUCUUGGUCUCUAUAUCUGUGGAAGAACAGGCUCAUUCAUUGGACUCGAUGUUCUCCAGGUUUCUUCAUAUGGCUGCAGAUGGCAGGAUUUUCCAAAGCUUUAUGGCUGGAACAUGCUCCAUGGUGUAUCUAUACAGCAGUUUCUUCAUCCCCACAGCCGUAUGGACAGGUCAUAUACCAUGAAGUCCUCCAGGUCCAAAUGAUGAAAUUUCAUUCUGUUUUUCUGGCUGAAGACUAUUUUCUUUGUGUACAUCCACCACAGUUACUUUAUCCCUUCAUCUAUGGAUGGGCAGGACAACCAAGUCCCUAUAUGUCGCCUCUGGACAGCACAGGUGAAAUCUUCUGAGAGACAACAGUCAUCAAAACCGCCUCACCAUGACAGCAAGCAAGGAGGAAGGCCUGAAGACCCUCGAUCCCCCUUUUCAGCAGGAAGUAUCUACAGAGAGUGACCUCUGCCCCAUCUCCCAAAAGAUUUCUGGGUCCCAACCACUUGAAGGAGAAAUGUAAGCAUAGACAGUCACAUAUGAGCAGGCACAAUGGGGAGGUAUCCAUGUUGGAAAGAACCCCCCGGAACACCUCUUUGGAUGCUCAGUACUCACUCCAUCUUCAAACUGUCAGAAUGUUGUUAACUAGAUCAUGAUAAGGAAAUACGGCAAAGGAGAAUUCCUGAGAGCUGAGCAGGCACAAUGAGUACAAAAUUGACUGCUAUGCCUUUCCUGGGUGGUGGUAAUAUGCAGUGCCACCAUUAGGUACGAUUUGUAUUGAUGUUUCCCAUGCAUGUGCAUUAAGCACGGUAAGGGUGGAUCCCCUGAACUUUGGUGAGAACUGGACAAAGAAAGAACCGAGGCAAUAGAAGAUCACAAUGCAGAAUGUCAUGGGGAUGUUUCCCGCAGGGUCAGCCCCCUCCUCUCUUAGAGUGUAUUUGUACUUUCCCAAUAAAACUUUUCUUUAUUUACAAAUUGGUCUUUUGUGUAAAUUCUUUCUUCCAUGAAGACACCAAGGAUCGCCCAGGCAACAUCUUCAUGUGAUUUCACCCAUAAUAAGAGUCUAUUUCUGGGGAUCUCAAAGUCAAUACAAUAAUGACAAGGAGUAUCAAUUACAGAGUUGGUAAGGAAAAAAAUAGUUCAACUGUGGUUGACUUAUUAAGAAACUUAUCCAGAGUUUGACUGUUGACAACUGGGUGAAAAUCACAAAAGCCAGGUGCUAAGCCCAGGAGUUCAAGGAUGUACUGUGAAAUGAUGGUGCCAGUGAACAGCCACUGCACCCUAUCACUGCAGCCUGGGCAACAGCAUGACCCUGUCUUUUGAAAAUACUACAAUUAUAAAACAUUUAUUUUAACAAACAUAAAUUGUAACUUUUUUGUCUCGUUAUUUUAAAAAUUCAGUCAAUUCACUUUAACUUACAGUUUUGAUGGUGUUUUUAUGAUCUCCUCAAUGCCCAGAAAAGUAAUAUAAGCCCAUGUUAAAUGAGGCCUCAGACUUCUUUCUUUACCCGGGUUCAUGUACUAACACAUCAUAAAAAAACAAAUCUAAUGUUUUUGGGAAAGCAUUGCAGCAGAUAAAAGAGAACAAGUUAAAUGGUUUUUCUAAUACAUAAAUUACAAACUCCCUGCUAGUCGAUUUAAAAAAUCUUAUUGCUUUGUGUUAUUUCUUUACAAAAAUGAUAUGAUGAGAGUUUAAGUGCUUUAGAGUCAUGAAAUUUUGCCACUGGGUGGGAAAAGAAAAUGAAAACUUCUGUAAAUUAAGCAUGAUGAAAAUGUAACUGUUCUCAGUUUUUGCCAGCAAAAUCAAUUAGUAUGUCAUUUUACAAGAUGACAAUGAAUAGUAUACUAAUGAAGAUUUAUAGUUUGCCAAGUCAUGUUAGGCUUAAUACAUGAUUCAGAAUUAUUCUGUCAAGAUAGAAAGGUGUGAUUCCAUAAUCACUGUAGGAUGCCUUAAAAGAAUUUUAAUAUGGUUGCUGUCUACUACAUUCUUAAGUUACAGAAAGAGGAUGCGUUCUGGAGUUGUUGGUAAGUGUAAAUUGAUUUUAAACAGUGAUGAACUUUCUGGAUGCUUCUUUCAUGUUGGAUUUUGAUAUUAUUUUCAAGCAGAAGCCAUUUUUUUUCAUUCUGUGAUGAGCCAAAGAAUGGCAUAACAACAAGAACUCAAUGAAGAUAUCUAGAGAGUAGUGCAUGGAUUUUAUAUCUGUCCAGUGCAUUUAGACUGCUUCUUGCAAAUUGCAUUUGUCAUGGACACAAGAGCCAGAAAGAUAGAAGAAAAAGCCGUUUUCCACCAAAUAUUGACAAAAAUCUGGAGAGGGGAGUGGAUAUAUAUGUAAAGGCCAUCUACAGAAAAGCUCAGUGGAGUGUAAAUUGUGCAGGUUCUUUACAGACAAAUAUGGUUCCACACUAUGAAGACUAGAACAGAUUGUGUUCAUGUAUAAUAAACAUAAUGAUAACUUGCUUCUAAAAAACAUGGAAACAAAUGUCCCAAUUCAGGUGCCUUAAAACCUGGUAAAUUGCCUCCACAAAUAGUUCUAGGCAACAUAUUUGAAAUAGCUAAAUAUUUGCCUUAUGACUCUAAGUAUAUUGGAUUUCAGAAAUGAAAAGUCAACAUUCUGAGAUGAGAGUAGGUGAUACAAUGAAAAUUGAAAUCAAGUACUUUUAUCAUGUUUUCUUCUUGUAGAGAAUUCGAAAACUAAAUGAAGAGAUCCCAGAAACAUUUACCUAAAAAAGUGCCAUGAGGAAUUUUUCUGCUUUUGGCCUUGAAGACCAAAAUGAUUAUUCUGUGACAGCUCUCACUUAGAGAACAAUAAGAUAUGUGGAAUACAUCUAUCCAGGAUUUGUUGUCUCUGGUGUGACUAGAGCCUUUUUGAUGAAAGUGCCUUGCAUCACAUUUCAGAUGUUAGAUAUAAGUGAUACAAUCCUACAGAACAUCACAGAUUUAGCAGAAGCUAUUAUUAAAUGUAAAGAGAAGUAUGACCCAGGAUUCUAUAUUGAUUGUCAGGGAACAAUAUUCAUUUCUGUAAUCAGGCAUGCUUCCUUUGACAAAGUUUAUGAUAGCAAACCUCACAAGGGCAACCAGAACUCUGCGGUGUUCACUCCUCACACCUCAGACCACUACAGUGUAGUAAAGAUGACAGCCAAGAUAGACA